ACCGAUAGCGCACAAGUAGAGUGAUCGAAAGAUGAAAAGCACUUUGGAAAGAGAGUUAAACAGUACGUGAAAUUGUUGAAAGGGAAGCGCUUGCAACCAGACUUGCACGCAGUUGAUCAUCCGGUGUUCUCACCGGGGCACUCUGCUGCGUUCAGGCCAGCAUCGGUUCUGGUGGUUGGAUAAAGACCUUGGGAAUGUGGCUUCUUUCGGGGAGUGUUAUAGCCCUCGGUGCAAUGCAGCCUACCGGGACCGAGGACCGCGCUUCGGCUAGGAUGCUGGCGUAAUGGUUGUAAGCGGCCCGUCUUGAAACACGGACC
rnacentral:rRNA from 1 species